rnacentral:rRNA from 1 species
GACGUAGGGCGCGAGCGUUGUCCGGAUUUAUUGGGCGUAAAGAGCUCGUAGGCGGCUCAUCGCGUCUGCCGUGAAAACCUGUGGCUCAACUACAGGCUUGCGGUUGAUACGGGUGGGCUGGAGUUCGGUAGGGGAGACUGGAAUUCCUGGUGUAGCGGUGAAAUGCGCAGAUAUCAGGAGGAACACCAAUGGCGAAGGCAGCACUCUGGGACGUGACUGACGCUGAGACGCGAAAGCGUGGGGAGCAAACAGG